GUAUCCCUACGGGGGGCAGCAGUGGGGAAUAUUGGGCAAUGGGCGCAAGCCUGACCCAGCAACGCCGCGUGAAGGAAGAAGGCCCUCGGGUUGUAAACUUCUUUUAUCAGGGACGAAACAAAUGACGGUACCUGAUGAAUAAGCCACGGCUAACUACGUGCCAGCAGCCGCGGUAAUACGUAGGUGGCAAGCGUUAUCCGGAUUUAUUGGGUUUAAAGGGUGCGUAGGCGGAUUUUUAAGUCAGCGGUAAAAUGUCCGGGCUCAACCCGGGCCGGCCGUUGAAACUGUGGAUCUUGAGU
rnacentral:rRNA from 1 species